rnacentral:misc_RNA from 1 species
GGUUUGUUCAGGUUAUAAAGUAUUCUUUUACAAAGAAAAAAUAUUUUCUGGCAUUUUAGAAUAUGAUAUCCCUAUACAUGCGUACCAGUAAGAGCAACUUAAGAAUUACAGUCGUUAUGAGGAUGUUAUAACUAAAUCGCAGAGCACAGUGCAAAGUUUUUUAAAAAAAGAAGUAGAUAUAUCCAUUAUGCCUUUUUAUUAUUCAUUUGAUAUAUAUUCCCCGUACUUAAUGGCUUUUAAAGAGGCAUGGUCAAGAUUUUGGUCAAAAUUGAUUUUUCGCUUUGUUUUUAAUGUUUACAAUGCUCAAUAAGGCAUUUCUAAUAGUCAACUAAAAUUUGUGUGUCAAUCGUCGAGCUACACGCAAGAUAGAGAGCUUACAAAUCUUUGUUUUGUAAACAAAGCUCAUAUCAUAUUUUUGUUAUCACUUUGAACGUUGAAUGAAAAUUCCAGGUUAAGACUAGCAUGAACAGACAGAAAAAAAAUAGCUUGAAAAAGAAAUUUUACCAGUAUAUUUCACAAUGUAAACGAACACAUAGCACGAGCCUUGUUCACAUUACAAAGACUUAAAAGCUCUGUACCUUGCUCAUACUGUGACAGUUUGGCAGAUCAUCAAAAUACAUCACUGAAGCAUUGUAAAUUUGGAAAUUGAAAAUGUUCUAAACAGUGCGUUUGAGAUAAUUAAAGAAACGAUGCAUAAACGCAUAUUUGAAUAAAUAUAAACUUAAAU